GGCUUUCUUGGAAACAUGUAAAACAAACGCUCGUAACCAUUCAUAUCCUGUUUGACACUCUACCCUAUUUGUUCGAUUCGUUUUAGUGCUUCUAGUCGUCGUUAGAUAGUCUAUAUAUCUAAAUAUAUUUUUUGUUACUUAUGUAUUCAUUGUACUGCAUUUAUUAAAAGCAUCUACAACUAGAUCCUUCAAACCAGCCUUAAAGUCCGGACAGUCCGGUCACUCGUCGGUCAUAAAAAAAUCGUUCAGUCAUCUCAAACAUUUGAACUGACCGACACCUCCAUAUCUAUCUUAAAUAUGAAGAUGAUACGAGAGCUCGCCAACGUAUGGUUGGUUGCCUCUUUCGCAUAACAGAGCCCUGGGGUCAUGGGCCCGGCCAGCCGUGGUGCUAGGGAGGCCAACCCAAUUUAAGUUGAAGUUUGCGGCACAUGCGCACAUGCAUACGCUUGGCACGCUCCUAGGCCAGGAACAUGAUAAUGAUACGCAUGUACGCUCCCAAAAUUGGAGUACUCCUACUAGACUAAACGUACAUGCAUGCAUUGAUCUCAUUGAUCCCGAUCGCCCUCGAUGGUUGAUGAUUUGCCAUCUCUACAUGCACGCACGCGGCUGCUUUCGGCUCGAUGAUUCGCCAGCCACAUGCCUGUACCUAGUACAGUAUAUACCACAUGUAACUGCAUGCUGCCGGCUCUUCGUAUAAUUGCAUGCACCGUGUAUCGUCCUGACCCGUCAUAUAAACAUAUAACUUAUCGUACAUCUAUAUAUGGAUCAGUGUACGUACGUGCUAGCUAGCCGUGGUCAGCACAUAUGGUUACCUAAUGCAGCUAGUCCUUAACGUAGAUAGUGCAUGCAUGGGAGAUAUGGUGUACCGAAUCUAGAUUGAAAAACCAGGAGAUCAUUCGUCAGAAGUAGGAAAGGGCGAUCGGGAUUAGCUCACCGUACGUACGUACGUACGUACAGGUAGCAGUGCUACUUACGUUGUUGUGCGCGCGCAUGCACCACGCCGUCCAGGUCCAGCAGCACGUUAACGCCGAGCAGCGAGAGCAAAACAGUGAAAGCAAAAGUGACACACAUGCAGCCGCACAUGGAAAGCAGAAAGGAUGACCAUCGGAGGAAUGACACCGACACCACAUGCAUGGAGAAGCAAGGCGUACGCCUUACACAUGCAUGCCCGGGUUACUGUAGGGAGGAACGGCCCAUGCCAUGUCAUGUCACGUCAAAACCUGGACCGGAGCUUCCAUGGAUCUAUGUCCAUCAUGCUACUACAAUCCAAAACUACUUCC
rnacentral:lncRNA from 1 species